rnacentral:rRNA from 1 species
UAGGUGUCGGGCUUAUGCUUUACUACAAACGAUUCAGUUUUAGAAUGUCAUACUUUGCUAUAACGCAAUUUAUAUACAACUUUCAGCAACGGAUCUCUUGGCUCUCGCAUCGAUGAAGAACGCAGCGAAAUGCGAUAAGUAAUGUGAAUUGCAGAAUUCAGUGAAUCAUCGAAUCUUUGAACGCACCUUGCGCUCCUUGGUAUUCCGAGGAGCAUGCCUGUUUGAGUCUCAUGGAAUUCUCAACCUUCAGCUUUAUUGUUGAAGGCUUGGACUUGGAGGUCGUGCCGGCUCUCGUAGUCGGCUCCUCUGAAAUGCAUUAGUGCGAACGUUACCAGCCGCUUCAGCGUGAUAAUUAUCUGCGUUGCUGCGGAGGGUAUUCUAGUGUUCACGCUUCUAACCGUCUUCGGACAAAUUUCUGAACUCUGAGCUCAAAUCAGGUAGGACUACCCGCUGAACUUAAGCAUAUCAAUAAGCGGAGGA